AUUUAAGUAGUUUAAUAAAAAUUUUGAUUUGUGGUGUCAGAGAUGUAUUUAUAUACCUUAAAUU
rnacentral:tRNA from 1 species